CCCGCACAAGCGGUGGAGUAUGUGGUUUAAUUCGAUGCAACGCGAAGAACCUUACUGGUCUUGACAUCCCGGAGACCCUUAGGAAACUAGGGGUGCUUCCAUCUGGAAGAAUCUGGAGACAGGUGCUGCAUGGCUGUCGUCAGCUCGUGUCGUGAGAUGUUGGGUUAAGUCCCGCAACGAGCGCAACCCUUGCCUUUAGUUGCCAGCAGUUCGGCUGGGCACUCUAAAGGGACUGCCGGUGUUAAACCGGAGGAAGGUGGGGAUGACGUCAAGUCCUCAUGGCCUUUAUGACCAGGGCUACACACGUACUACAAUGGCCGAUACAAAGGGCAGCGACACUGCGAGGUGAAGCCAAUCCCGUAAAAUCGGUCUCAGUCCGGAUUGGAGUCUGCAACUCGACUCCAUGAAGUUGGAAUCGCUAGUAAUCGUGGAUCAGCAUGCCACGGUGAAUACGUUCCCGGGCCUU
rnacentral:rRNA from 1 species